CGGCGCUCGGUGGGGGCGGCAGCGGCCGGGCCGCGCUCCCCUGCCGGGCCCAGGUAAAGGAGUUCAUCCUACUGGAAUAUCCCUGGGGCUGCCAGCGAGGAACUCUUGAGCUGCCCGAACACAAAACCAGAUGCACACGUUCUCCAUGGGAUCAGUGUGCUCUGAUGGGUGAAGCUGCUCCAGCUCCACGGAACAGGGACACAGAGCAGCCCCAGCACAGGCAGAAGGCUCUGAAGUGACACCGGGCUGACGGGGAACAGCGUUUGUCCCAGGAUUAUCAUCAGGCCCCUCACAACCACAUUUACACUCACGCUGCGUGGAUGGGGACUUGUUGACAAUUCCCUGAAUUCCAAUUUGGAAGGAAAAGUUUUGUGUCUGACCUUUUAUCUCCAAUGCUGUGGGUCUGCCUGCCUUGCUGACAUGUCUUCGAUCCAUCCCAUUCCCUCCAUUUCAGUUACAGAUGAGGAAAGCUAAAGUAGCAACGCUGCUCUUUUCUCUGUUUUGCUUUUGGCUUACAGUGUUAUCAAGCGAUCCUGGGUUUAGCUUUUGCCUUCACUGCUCUCAUAAUGGAUGACUGAUAAGGAAUGAACUUCUCUCACUCACAACUGCUCCAAUACGAAUUUUUAAAAUCCCUUUGGACUGAACAAAUGCAGAAGAUAUUAUUGACAAUUUUCAAAUGACAUAAUAAAUCUUAAUAAGGUUUUUCAUACAUAUGUACUCACAAAGUCAGAGCUUUAUCUGAACAUAAUCUAAAUGCUCUGAAAAUUUCCAGAGGUCUCACAAGUAUGAAGACACUUUUCUCAAAGUCACAGGAGGAUUAAAAGUGAGAGACAAAAAGACAUUACCAAGAAACCAGCUGGGUACUAAGUUCCCUUGGAAGGAUUUAGCAAUGACAGCACUCCAGUCUAAAAACUGGUAGCUGAUAAAGGCAACCUAGAUAUAGGAAUGGAACCAAGGGAUGGCUUGACAAGAAGCAACCCAGCAAGUUCUGACUCUGCUGUGAUUUUCUUCCUGCCCCCUUCCACCCCUCAAAAAAAAAAAAAAAAAAAGCACCAAGUUAUUUCAGAUGUAAGCACCUUAAAUAAAUGGCAUCUGUCCUGAAGUCUUGUAAAACAAACUGUAGCUCUCUAGUGGGAAUGUUGAAAUGUUGACAAGCCCUUCUGUGUAGCAAUGCAAUGCUGCCCCCUCAGAGAACAAAGCAAAGCUCCUGGGAAAUAAUUAAAAAACAUUUUGCUCAGCUUGUGAUGCAAAUACAGACUUUUCAGGUUCUGCAGAAAUAAGCCGGAAACCCACAGAAUAUCACCAAAACAGACUAAGGUUCUCUGCUAUGGUGAUGUUAUUUAUGGUCAUCCUGGUGUCACACAAGCAGCCUUGUGCAGGGAAAUCCACUGGUGGCAGCACAAUGUUGUUUUCAGCAAACUUACUCUUUCCCAAAGAAGCUGUGUGUGACUGAUCUGUGAAGCAACUGCUGAGUUACAAUGCCACAAGUAACUUGGAAUUGCUGUCUGUUUGUGUUCUCUGAUAUUUAGGAUUCCUCUUCACAUGGCAGCAUAUGAUAUGGAUGCCCAGAAAGAUUCAGUGCUAUGAUGCUGUAAUGAUAAAGAUCUGAUCGUGUCAUUCUUUGAUGGGGUUUCCACCAGUUUCUGAACUUAAAGGUAUUCAAUUAUUCUGUUUUUCUCAAGGGUAAAAUAUGCAUGUAACCCUCAGUUAGCACUAAGAACAAUGUGCAAGCCUUCACACAUCAAAGACGUGACUAUGUGCUUUUGUCUAUCCUAAUGGUUUGAGAGAAAAUCUUGAUAAAUCAACAUGAGAUUUCUUUUUAUUUUCCCUUUAUUCCCCUUUUUCUCUUUCUUACAUUUUGUUGUCUUGAUUAGAUAAAAAAUAAUAGGGGGCUGUCAAUCUGUUUUCUUUUCAGGUCUUCUCUGUCUCUUUCUAAAUUAGUUACAGCCUGCUUUUUGUAGCUUUAUAGCCAGCCUGACCUAAUUUAAUUACCAUGACUUGUGUGGCUUAAAGAUAAAUAGUUUUAUUCAGCCUGCUUACUUUUGUAUAAGUUUUCCCUUUCACACAUCUCUCUAUAUUUUGGCAUUCAGAAUUCUUGUCCACUGUUCUUCAGUAGGUUAACACAAGGUUGGUUUAUAGCAUUGUCCAUAUUUUCACAAAAAGGCCUUUGAUGCUUUUAGUCCCUGCUUUGCUCUGAGUCUGGGGGCCUUUGUGGGACACAAAUGAACAUUAGCUGGGGCUCAGAAGCAGGGGAUGGGAAAUACAGCCCUAUGCCCAUCAUGAGGGAGAAAUCCUCAAAGCUUGCUUCUAUACUGCUACUGUGGAAGAUUUUUUCUUAUUUAAGGAAAAUACUUCAGAAAUCAAAGCUUGAGACUUCUCUACAGAUUAUGGUAAACACAUAAGUGGCUAGAUGAUCUCCAGUAACAUAACUCUGUAGCAUGAAAACGCCUUCAAGCUGUCCAAGAACACAAAUGCUUCACACAGAGAUGUCCCUAAUGCCCAGAUCCCUGAGGUUCAUGCCAAGAUCACUGACAAAUCCUUCUACCACCCUGUUGGCCACCUUUGAAUACAGAAAGCAAGCAACCAGCUUAUAAACUCCAAAAUCCAACUUAAAAGAAGGGAUCAUCAUAUUUCUUUCUCUCUGUCAAAAUGGAGAAAGAUUGACCAGGAAACCCUGAGUGAUGCUAAAUAGUUGUUAAAAAAUCUGAUUCAGGUUCUCUUACAUUCCUAUAAUCAGUGCUUUUUUUAAAAAAUCUCCCAUAUAACACUCAGAUGAAUGUACAGAGACUAUCUCCAUGUAAAUAUGUUGUGUUUUGCCUAUGAACACUAAAUAUAUUUUGCAGUAGUUUAAAAAUAAUUCUUUGGAGGCUUACUGCAGUUCUUAAUACAAAUGUAGAUACAGAAUUUAGUGUCAUUUCUUGUGUCAUCUGUAUGUCAUCUUAAUGCUGCUAAAAGAGCCUCAUGCCCUUUUUUAAAAAUGCAUCUACUUGGGUUUAAAAAGAGUAUAUCUGAGAUCAUUAGCAAAGGAAAUGGCCAGCAUUAAUUCUAAACUACCACAGGUUUUAACAAAAAGAACAAACUGUGAAACUUAAAAGGAAACCCAACAAAUGUGUUUUAUGAAUACAUGUGCAAAAUUUUGGUUACAAUCAAAUAAAAUACUGAUAUGUGCCAGACA